UAGCCACCACUCUCUGAGGUGUUACAUACUCCCUCUGGUAUAUUUCAAAGCCUGCAUUUUCAGCUGAUUGUAAACAAGCUCUCGAAGAGAGGAACUAGUUUCUCGGUACGUUUUAAACUGAGCAGAAAGUUGUGAGAUAUUAAAAAAUAGGUCGACGCUGUCCAGCCUUCUGGAAAGUGUCAACAUUUAAUUUUGAUCCAUAGGCUACGUACUUCUAGCUUUUGUUACUGAGGUGGUCCCUCCACCCCUCCUUGGAAAUCUUUUCAGCCUGGGUUAAUUUUCCUCUAAAUACCGGUUUUCCCUACUGUUCUCACCUAUUUAGAAUGGAAACAAAUCUAAGGAGCUUAAAGAGAGAAAUGGGGGAGUUGUGACUCUCCGGGGUUUUCACUUCGUAUGAAACCUAGCAGGAGGGAAGGGAGCAGCUGGACUCCGAGAGGAGGACCCGAGUGUUUGUAAACUCAGGGUGGCUGGCUCACCCGCCUGCCUGCCCAAGCUGCCGUUCUGAGUCGGCUCUGCUACCUAGGGCUAGAAGUGGAAAAACUUGAUUUGCGUGUUGUGCCUGCGUUUUGUUGUGUGUGUUUUUUUUUUUUCUCCCUCUCUUUCCUUGCCCACACCGCCCUCUGUACACCUGACCCGGUAGAAGCCUAUCUGAAGCCGACCGGGUGGCAGGGAGGCAGGAAGAACGGAAGAAUGUCCAAGGGAGGGAGGGCUCGGUACUUUUCCAUUCACAACUCCACAGUGGCUUUUCUUGUUUAUUUCAACCUCCACCCUCAGAAACCUUUCAGCUGCCUGAAAUCCGAGUCAUUAAACUGUUCCCUGAGCUCCCCCUGGAACACACUGUGGGACACUGAGCAAGGGCCCCAGUGAGGACUCAGUUUCCUCCUGUGUGAAAGGAAUAACCCAGGGGACUCUACAAGACCUUAGAAGGCAGCAGCAAUGACUCAAGUAGUUGGAUUCCUGCUACCUACAUGGAAGACCUGGAUUGAGAUUUUGGUUCCCAGCUUCAGUCCCCUUGCCCAUCUGAAGACCACUGGAAAAUGAAUCAGC